AAGGGCUUAGCUUAAUUAAAGUAAAUGACUUGUAUUCAUUUGAUGUGAGAUAAAAUCUUGCAGUCCUUU
rnacentral:tRNA from 1 species